rnacentral:lncRNA from 1 species
CUGGGACUACAGGCGUGUACCACCACGUCCGGCUAAUUUUUUGUAUUUUAGUAAAGAUGGGGUUUCACCAUGUUGGCCAGGAUGGUCUCAAUCUCCUGACCUCGUGAUCCGCCUGCCUCAACCUCCCAAAGUGCUGGGACCACAGACAUGAGCCACUGCCCCCGCCCUUCAUGUGCUGGUUGGUCAUUCCUAUAUCUUCCUUGGAGAAAGGUCUACUCAGGUUCUUCGACUAUUUCACCCAUCAGAUAAGCAACCCGGGCUGUUGAGAGGACGAUGUUAACUGACCCCCAAGGCAGGACCAGGUGCUGAAGUCCUGCUCUUUCAAAGAUGAUGAACCAGAGAAUACUGUGUCACUGCUUGUUCCAUUCCUGUGCUGGUACUGGCAAGUGGGAAAGCUGGGAUUCAAAUCCAAGUCUGUGUCUCCAAAAGUCCAUGUUGAAGCUGUUCUUGUUGCUGAAUUUAAUGAACCUCUAACACAUGAUCCAAUGGAGAAAGUGUCACUGAGCUGGGCCGCAGAGCUGGUUAUCAAGGGUAGUCUACGAAGUCAGAGGGAACUUCACAAUGUUGGACACUGAGCUUCCAUGCACCUGGUCUAAAACGAGGAAGAGCAUAAGAGGAAAGCCUGCACCCCUCCUUGGUCUGUCUCAAUCUGCAUUUUGCCAGUAAGACUUGCUGGGCCUCCACUCGGGUUAAGGUCGAUGAAUAAAACCAGAGAACUUAAAAAGAGGAAACAUCAACACUGAAGAGGUCAUGGGGAAGAGGAAGGAAAGUACGGCACCUGCUAUCAAUUUGACUUGCAUGUAACCAGAAUUCUCAGAACUUGUUGGUUGCUCCUGCUGGCUCCUGUCCAUGUAUGCCAAGAGGACAUGAUGGCAAGCGGAUUAGAACCAGAGAUGAUGAUCCUUCCAUCCCCCUCUGGGCAUCCUCCUCAGCUUCAAGAGCUACAGAUGCAAGAGCAUGAUGGGCAUCCUCCUCAGCUUCAAGAGCUACAGAUGCAAAAGCAUGAAUGAAGUCCUGCCUGUGUUGCCUGACUUUGUCACUGAGACCAGAAGGAGACCCCAUGCGGAAUCAACUAGCAAACACAAACAGCUGCCUGGUGCUGCAGGGCAAACAGACUUGAUGAUGAAAUUCUCAAAAUUCAUCAUUGCCUAAUUUUUUUUUUUUUUAGAAAUAUGCACCAUUUUGUUAGCCAAAGUGCAGAUUUUCGUAGAGAAAACAGGAAAAUUAUUGAUAUGGGUACACUCACAACGUGCUAAAUACAAACUAAACAGAUAACCCAUAAGGCAGAAAAUAUAACCCCUCCCCGACUCCAUUUCUGCCUUUGUCCCUUUCCAUCUGCAUGGCUGUCCCCCACCCUGGCAAGUGCUCUGCCUCUCCCAAGAGCAUUUUUGGGGGUCCAGCCAGGUAGCACCACCUUCCUUAUCCCUUAGUCCUUCCUGCUGCUCAGAGAGGAAUUUUCUGGAGCUGGGCUCUAAUCAGUGCACAGAGGUGGGAUGGAGAUGAGUUUUUUUAAAAUAUAAUUUAUCACGCAUUUGCACCCAUUGUUCUCCCAACCAGAUUGCAAACCACUAGGAUACAGGGUCAUGUCUAGUUUCUCUUGCCUGCCCUCCCCUCCCCAGCUCCCAAAUUAGACAUGGCAGAGUAUCUUUACUACACUGGGCUGGCAAUUCAUGUUUUACACUGAAUAAGUAGAUAAGGCAGAAUUGUCUAUUUUUAUGUUGUUUUUUGGCAGGUCCCUGCCAGACUUCAUAGGCAUAAACUAUGGGAUACAUCUCGUGUGCAUCCAAGUGAGAGAGAGGACAGUAAAACACAGUUACCUACACAGACAGGGAAAAUCACACUCACACAUACACACCGACAGAAUUUCAUUUAAUCAAGUGCACAUUGGAAGUAGAAAGCAUGAAGCUGAAAGUACUCCAGCUCUGUUUAGCCAACACUAAACCAUAAGAGGGACCUCAGCCUUUAACACAUGGCCGGGUUUGACAACUCUUUGGUUCCAGACUGACUUCCCAACUGACCAGUUGCUUUUGCGUCUCUUAGAUUCAGCUUCACCUUGAAUCCCAACUUCCUCCCUCCCCCUCCCUACUUCCCUGGGCGUUCUCUGGCUUUUCAGUCCUGGUAUGAGCCAAGCAAAGCUCAAUUAGCUAAUGAGGUGCCCAAGACCAGCACCAAGACUGUCUCCAAGGGCCAACCAGGCCAUUAACUGCCAUCAUCAGUGUUAAUUUACAACCUUGCCUACCACAUGGAGUGCGGGGAUGCUGUGAAGUUCUGCCAACCUUUUGGCUGACAGGGAUACAGAGAAGUGCUGGCAAGGCAAAAACAGAGUAAAUUAAAAAUAUGCUUCAAUCUAUAGGCUCUAUUUAUCUAUGUCUUUCUUUAGUAAUAUAACAUUAAGGUAAAAGGUCAUAGCCCCACUGAAAUAUAAUUUAUAUUUACCUUUUAUUAAAUAAUUAUGGCAUGGCAUGAAGUUAAAUAUUACAGAAGCUAAUCAAGAGGGAAUUCAAGAGAGAAAACUCAGACAUGAGAAUUUCGUCUUUGCUAUACAUAGAAUGUCUUAAUCCUCCACUGGGAGUCAUUCGGGUUUGCUUAAGGAGUUUAAUAAUACACAUUUCAACUGCCACAGAAUCUAAAUCCCAUUUGGAUCAGCCUUGAAAAACUUUCAUCAAUACCUUGAGAUUUCAUAAUAUUUCUCUUGAGAGCCUGGAUCUCAUGUGCCAUUUCUCAUUUUGAUUGCGGGUAUAAUAUAUGAGAUUACUUACAUAUAUCUUGGACCCAAUAAAUAAAUAUAAAC